UACAGAGGUGCGAGCGUUAAUCGGAAUUACUAGGCGUAAUGUGCGCUAGGCGGCAUUGCAAGUCGAGUGUGAAAUCCCCGAGCUUAACUUGGGAAUUGCGCUCGAAACUACGAUGCUCGAGUGUGGCAGAGGAAGUGGAAUUCCACGUGUAGCGGUGAAAUGCGUAGAGAUAAUGGAGGAACACCAGUGGCGAAGGCGACUUUCUGGGUCUGAUAACUGACACUGAGGCGCGAAAGGCGUGGGGAGCGAACGGG
rnacentral:rRNA from 1 species